GCCUGCGGCUCUCCGGCCUCCUGGUCGCCCCUGCGGGUUUGUCUGGCAUAGGAAUGGGCCUUUUGGCUCGGGCACACUUCUCAGGCCCCCGUUCACGCUCCGGUUUCCUCCGAAGUUGCUGACCCCGGCUGGCAGGCGGGGUGCGCGGUGACCCCGCAGGCCCGCGGCAAGAGGAGGCCUGCAGCGAGCACAGAAACAAGGAGCACUAGAGCGGCUGGGCUGGACUUCCCAGAGUGUCGCCUACAUCCUGGUCGCCAUGGCACCGGCCAGGCGCUGCGCCCCAGCUGUGCGCUCCCCUCUACCGGGGUACGAGGGCCCGCUCGGUCACAGGAGGCGAAGAGGUGGCGCUUCGGACCCUCGCAGUCAGAAUAAAAUUUCUCAAGGAACUAGCCUUCCCUGAGAAGAUGCUGGGCACGCACUGUGCCAGGUCUUUGGAUGCUCUGGGGACAGCGGCUCUGGUAGCCCAGGGAGGCCCAGGGCAGGGGGCUUCUGGAAGCAGCUGCCGCUGGGGACCCCUGCCUGGCUUGGAGUCUUCAAGACAGGAAAGAAGGAAAAAGAAGACAUUCCAAAGAGGAUGGGCAGAGGAAGGUCCCCAGAAAUCUGUAUGGUGUGUGGUGGGCCAGAGACCCGUGGAGUCUGUAGGUCUGGACCAGUAUACAUGCACAUUAGAGUCGAUGUUCUCUGUUCAUUUAUUGCAGCCCCCAACACCUUCCAGGAUGUACACCGCUGUCAUAUUCCAAAAGCUUCUCAGGAUUUUCCCCCCCCCAAACAUGCACAGGCACCCACACACUUGAUGAAGAGCCAGUUACAGAAAUCCAAGUGACUUACGCCACCCUGGAACUGACUUCCUUCCCAGGCAUGAAGUCCUGUGUUAGGUAGGGACCCCCAGUGUCUGCUGGGUCACCUUGGUGCCUUUUCUUCUGCUUUGCUGUCACUUCCUUUAUCUUCAUUGCCCUCCCCAAAGGCACCUACUCAGACAGGUACCACUCACCAGUUUUUGGAGUGUCCUGCAACCUUGAAUUGUUCGGCGUGCACACAUUCUAAGUUUCAGUAAAAAGUCCGUCCUGUU